UUUUUUUUUUUUUUUUUUUGUCUCCCUCUUUUUUCUUUGGAUAGAAUUUGCUUCUCAUCAUGAUUGACACUGCAAUGGAGAAGCCAUCUGAAUCGAGGCGUUUUGAGAAAAUUGUAUCUUCUGUGACAUGUGCCACCAAGCCCAUACUUUGCAGCACAUGCUCAAGGGGCUAAUUAUUGGCUGCGCUGCCUCCCAGGGUAAUUUAUGCAUGCCUGUUCCUCGUUUUCCAAGAAGUGAAAAUAAAGCUUCUCAGGGGCUGUGGAAACCCAUCAUUUCAGCUGUCAGUCGAUGGUGCCCCACUGUGAGAAAGCGUUUGCGACUUGAGCCUCUUCCUCCACCCUGGUUUAGAGAAUUUGGUUCCAUGGUUGUUCCAUGUCCCUGGCAACCGUGACACAGGGGCACACAGGGGGCGUGUCUGUCACCGGUGCAACAAGACAUCACAUUUGUUUCCCAAGAUGGUACCCACGUCUUGUCUCUGGGGAAACUAAUUUUUUGAAACUCCCUUUCCCUGCAUGGGUGAUAUAAAACUCUGGUCUUUGUGGCUUGUCUCCUAAGCAUACGCUGCUUAGAUUCACCUUUAUUUUAACAACUAAAGCGUCUGCUUUAUUUUAGUCACUAUGGCUUCCCCAGGAGGGACCGGAUUUGCCCAAGGUUGAACGGUGCCCCGUUCGCCCAACGCCCCCUGUCUCCAUCCCAGGGUUUGAGAUCCCAAGCUCAGGGCUGGCUCUCCUCGGAGAGACUUCGUUGUCCGUUUCCUCCUCCCCUCACAAACUGGAGGAAAGCUGGAAAUGUCAGUUGCAGGUCUUGACGUGUGUCCAGUGAACCGUGUGCAAGGGAAGUCAUUUUCCACAUGGCUUCUUUUUGAUGGAAAUGCAGAUGCCUUGAAGAUGGAUGGGAAAUGACAAUAACUUUUUAAGAGUCUCUUUCUCUGCUGACCGAGCUAGCUGGCGGCGCAAAGGAUGACUUUUUAAAAGAAGAGCUUCAGCGAAUUCGGCUUCUGAAUUCCCUUAUGGGGAACAAAGAUGCAUGGGUAUUUUUGAGGGAGGAAAAUCCUUGGCGGAACAUAUGUGGAGGAGAGAGACGCAGGGAUGCUUACUGGUGAUAAGAGAGCGUCAUGCCCACAUGUGUCUUCUUCCUGUGUGUUGUCAGAUGUCACACUCAAUGACUUUAAAAAAUCGGGAGACCCGCAAAGGUGGAAGGGCCACUCACCCUGUCUCUGGCACCUGGGGACAGGACCUCAUUUGGACAAAGUCUUCGAACGUGUGAUGAAGGGAAGGGUCUGGGAGGAGGUCCUCCUGGAAGAGGGGGUCCCUCCAUCCAAGGACAGUGUCCUCCAAGGAGAGAGAAGAGGAGACACAGACCCAGAGGAGAAGCCACAGGAAGGGUCUGGGAGGAGGUCCUCCUGGAUGAGGGGUCCCUCCAUCCAAGGACAGUGUCCUCCCAAGAGACAGAAGAGGAGACACAAACACAGAGGAAAAACCACAGGAAGAUGGAGGCAGAGACAGGAGGGAGGCAGCCACCCGCCCAGGGCCGCCUGGAGCCCCCAGAAGCUGGUGGAGGCAGGAAGGACCCUGCCCUGGAACCUCUGCAGGGAGCCUGGCCCUGUCCACACCUUGACCGCAGGCACCUGUUCUCCAGGAUGCGGGAGGAUGGAUGCCUAUUGUUCUAAGCCUCAUGGUUUGGUGUCAUUUUUUAAGGUCAGAUCCAGGCCACUCACAGAUAUUAUCCUUGAUGUGACGAAAGACGAAAGUUUGAGAACGAGAAGCCCUUAAUAAGAUAUCCUAGAACAGGUCGAGAGAGACAAGAAAGCCAGGCGUGAAAUGUCGUUUGGGGAACCCUGUUAUACCCCCUGAAAGUGGGUCUUUUCUAGAGUGGAGGGGCUUCCUAGAAGGGAAACGAUGAGAAGGGAGAAAGAAAAAAGGUCCAGACUUUGGGAGGAGCCCAGAACCAGAAGUUCAGAGCUUAAGAUGAAGAUGAAUUUGGGUCCAGAGAAGGUGUCAAGGAGCCUGGCGAAUUCACUCCACCCCCUGGUGGCCAGGAGGACUUACUACAAGCCUCGGGCAGAGGACUCUGCUCCUCAAAGCCGGAUGCAGGGGAGUUGGGGCGGUCGAGACACUUCUAGAGCCUUCUGAGUUCUAGGGGAGGAAUAGAAAUGCAUGGCCCACGGUCGAGGUGCCAACCCACCGCUGUGCCCCUGCGUAGCCGUAUCCUUCUCUGCCCCAUCCCCAGGUUGCAAAAGCCACACUCUUUGAAGCUCUGGGUUCUCACAGGUAACAAAAUACCGUGAACAGGAGUUGACUGUUGCACCUGUGAAAAUCACUGUUAGUCCCUUUUAUUGGAAGGAGACCUUUUCUUUUUUUAUUGCUUUUAUUUUUAGUGAAGUUGAUUUACGAUGUGCCAAUUUCUGCUGUACAGAAAAGGGAUCCAGUCAUACAUAUACAUCCAUUCUUUUUCUCAUAGUAUCUUCCAUCGUGGGCUGUCCCAAGGGACUGGAUAGAGUUCCCUGUGCGGCACAGCAGGACCUCCUUGCUUAUCCAUUCUCAAUGUCAUAGUUGGCAUCUAUGAACCCCAAACUCCCAGCCCAUCCCACUCCCUCCCCCUCCCCUUUGGCAACCACAAGUCUGUUCUUUAUGUCUGUGAGUCUGUUUCUGUUCUGUAGACAGGUUCAUAUCUGCCACAUUUUAGAUUCCACAUAGACGUGAUCUCAUAUGGUAUUUGUCUGUCUCUGUCUGACUGACUUCCUUAGUGUCAGAAUCUCUAGGUCCAUCCAUGUUGCUGUGAAUGGCAUUGGUUCAUUCUUUUUCAUGGCUGAGUAGUAUUCCAUCGUGUCUAUGUACCCCCUCUUCUGAAUCCACUCAUCCAUCGAUGGACACUUAGCUUGUGUCCCUGUCUUGGCUAUUGUGACUAGUGCUGCAGUGAACAUAGGUGUGCAUGGAUCUUUUCAUUUAUUACUUUUUGUUGGUGGGCAGAUCUCAGCUGGGCAUGUGAGGUGUCUCUGCUUUUUUUUUUUUUAUUAGAGUUGAUUUGCAGUUUUGUGUCAAUUUCUGCAGCAAGGCAAAGUGACCCGGUCACACAUGUAUACACAUUCUUUUUCUCAUACUAUCUUCCAUCCUGGUCUACCCCAAGAGAUGGGAUAGAGUUCCCUGUGCUGGACAGCAGGACUUCAGGGCUUAUCCAUUUUCAAUGUCAUAGUUUGCACCUACUAACCCCAAACUCCCCAUCCAUCCCACUCUCUCCCAAGACUUUUUCUUUCAACCAGAGAGGUCUCCUAAAACAUUAAAACCGUACAUUCCUAUGUGCAUAAAUGAUACCUUCUGACCUUAUUCUUAAACUGAUUUUUUUUUUUUUGGUCCAGGUGGGUUGAAAAAUUAAUUACAAAAGAGCUUCCUUCUAGGUAAAUAUGGGGCUGAAUGGUCUGCUGUGAUCACUGUGUCUAUCCACAGUGACGGAAAACCAGCCAUCAGAGAAAGGUCAGGGCCGUGACCUCUCUUCUGGGUCUACCCAGAAGGCUUAGCCAACCUUUUAACAUUUCUUUGUUAUUUAUUUUUUUCUUUCUCGGUUGUCUGACAUGUCAAUAGCAAUUUUUUAAAUGUCUCGGAGACGUUUAUAUUGCAGUGUUGUGUUUUAUUGCUGCCGUUCUGGGGGCCUGCUCUUAACCAUGAGUCUUGGAAGCCUUUCAUGGGGAUUGUUCUGGUCAGAUGGGUUCCCAGCUACCAAGGCAGUCACAUCAGGUUUUAGCUUUUCCCCAGCUUUAUUGAGGAAUAAGGGACCAGGAGUGUUUUAUACACCAAGCCAUGAGUAGAGGCCAAGCUGUGAAAAUCUCCCCUUUUCUUUCCAACCCAGGCCUCCCCUGUAACCAUAUGGUGGAUUCGUCUUGCAGUUCCCAUUGUGGCUCAGCGAGUUAAGAACCCAACAUAGUGUUCAUGAGGCCACGGGUUCGGUCCCUGGCCUCACUCAGUGGGUUAAGGAUAUGGCGUUGCCGUGAGCUGCUGCCCAGCAUGCAGAUGUGGCUUGGAUCUGGCAUUGCUGUGGCUGUGGCGUAGGCUGGCAGCUGCAGCUCUGAUUCCACCCCUGGCCUGGGAACCUCCAUAUGCUGCAGGUGCAGUCCUAAAACGAAAAAAAGAAAAGAAAAAGAGUAUACGUCUUAUGGGAAGGGCAGAAGGGUGUGCGUAAAUCACGGAUUAUUUUUUGAGCAGCAAAAGAAAUAAAAUAGCAUUGGAUUAUAGCCCAAAGUAUAAAAUGUCUGUCCCUCCCUCCCUACUGACGUAAAUAAAUGGUGGAAUAGAUACAUAAUGGGGAGAAUAAAUAAAUUGCCCCCAGGAGAAGGGUGGAUAGUGUAGGUGGCUAUUGCAGCCUUGAGGGGGUGAGCCUACAUGCCCAAGGAUGGACAGCCCAUGGUGAACAUUAGUCCCAAGAGGACACAGCAGAAGUGGGGGGUGGGAGGGAGAGUCACUGCAGACUCCUGAGCCACGCGACCUUGCCAAGGUGCUCAAGGUCACCAUCCAUGGUAGGACACGGUCCUCGCCUUAACCCUCAGAUUUACGAGACAUCAAAUAAAACUGUGAUGCGUGCUAUUCCUGAAUAUACAUGCCUUUCCCUCUGAACCCCCCACCAACCCCGGGAAUGCAGACCUUCUAUGAGCCCUGUCUCUUCCAGGUCCUCAUCUCUUUAGUCCAAAACAAAACAAAAGAGUGGAGAGUUCCCGCACACUCCAACGCGGUAUGCGUUGGGACCCUGGCCCAUCACAGUGGGCUGGUGUCUGCCUUCUCUCCCUCCCACGCAGUCCCGACCCCACCACAGCUUGGUCCAGCUCCACAUCCUUUAAAAUGCAGCCCCUUGCAGAUUCUUCUCUCCUCCGUGCAAAUCACCCUCCUACCACCCCCUCGCAGUCCCAAACACCCUGGUCCAGGGUUGAGAGAUUUUCAUCUUAGUGGCUCCGGUGCCGUUGCUCCUGGCACUUUGUCAUAAAGUUGGUCCUUUCUGUCUUCUCGUCUUCCCCUCACCGCUCCCCGAGAGGUGCAUUUGUCGGGAACAAGCUCUCUGACACCCGCUACUCUCAAAACUUGCAUGUAACACGAGCCCGUCAAAAGUCAGCUGACUUAUUAAUGGUGGCCUUUCUGACUGGUGUGAGGUGGUACCUCACUGUAGUUUUGAUUUGCAUUUCUCUAAUAAUAAUGAGGAAUGUCGUUUGCAUGUGUCUGUGGGCCAUCCCUAGGUCGUCUUUGAAGAAAUGUCUGUUGAGGUCUUCUGCACAUUUUUCAGUGGGGUUGUUUGUUUUUUUCUUGUUGAGUUGUGUAUUUUGGAGAUUAAGCCCUUGUCAGUUGCAUCAUUUGCAAAGAUUUUCUUCCAUGCUCUGGGUUGUCUUUUCAGUUUGGGUUUGUUUGUUUGGUUGUUAUCUUUUUAGAGCCACACCAGCAGCAAGUGGAGGUUCCCAGGCUAGGGGUUGAAUCAGAGCUGUAGCUGCCGGCCUACACCACAGCCACAGCAACACCGGAUCCAAGCCACAUCUGCGAGGUAUACCACAGCUGUGGCAAAACAGGAUCCUUUACCCACUGAGAAAGACCAGGGAUUGAACCCACAUCCUCAUGGAUAUUAGUCAGGUUCUUAACCUGCUGAGCCACAACAGGAACUCUUUUUUUUUUUAAUGGUUUCCUGUGCAAAAGCUUUUGAAUUUAAUGGGGUCCCACUGGUUUAUUUUUGUUUUAUUGUCAUUAUUCUAGGAGGUGGAUCAAAGAAGACAUAGCUGCGAUUUAUGUCAGUGAGUGUUCUGCCUGUGUUUUCUGCUAGGAGUUUGAUAGUAUCUGGCUUUCACUUUAGGUCAUUAACCCAUUUUGAGUUUACUUUUGUGUAUGGUCUUAGAGAAUGUUCUAGUUUCAUUGUUUUGCAUGUAGCUGUCCAGUUUCCCUAGCACCACUUAUGGAAGGGACUCUUUCCUGCAUUGUAUGUUCCUGUCUCCUUUGUCAUAGGUUGGUUGACCAUAGGUGCUUGGGUUUAUUUCUGGGCUUUCUAUCCACUGAUCUGUAUUUCUGUUUUUACGCCAGUACCAUACGGUUUUGAUGACUGUAGCUUCGUGGUAUAUUCUGAGGUCUGGGAGCCGGAUUCCUCCCAUUCUCUUUUUCUCUUUCAAUAUUGCUUGAGCUAUUCAGGGUCUUUAAUGUGGCAAAAAAUGAACCUACAAAACAGAAACAGACUCACAGACAGAGAACAGACUUGUGGUUGCCGAGGGGGCGGGGAAGGGAGUGGACUGGACAGGGAGUGUGGGGUCAGUAGAUGCAAACGAGGACAUUUGGGAUGGGUAAGCAAUGAGGUCCUGCUGUGCAGCACAGGGAACUCUAUCCAGUGUCUUGGGAUAGACCAGGAUGGCAGAUAGUAUGAGAAAGGGAAUGGAUAUAUAUGUGUGACUGGGUUACUUUGCUAUAUAGCAGAAAUUAACACAACAUUGUAAACCAAUUCUAAUUCUUAUUUAAAAAAAAGUCAGUUGAGUAAAUGCACUUCUUUGGUUUGGUUUUGGUUUGGUUUUCAACUUUUAAUUACUCAAUUACAUUAAUAGUUGUGCAAUAAUCAUCACAACCAAAUUUUAUAGCGCCGGGGGUUUCGGUUGUAAAUGCACUUCAUUCGAUGUAGCCCUUCGCUGAGAACAAAGCCAUAGGAAUGGGUCCAUCCUUGCUUCCGUCCAGAGAGAGCAAUAGACACUCUUGCUUUUGAAGAGGAAGAAGCCUGGCCUCUGCUCUUUAAGGGAUGACCCCACGAGGGUUUUAGGCGUCCACUGAAUCCCAUGCAGCAGUCAUUCUGAAACUUGGCUGCACGCUGGAGAAGCACCGAGAGAGCUUUUGCAAAAUCCUGGUGCCUGGUCCUUCUCCUUUGGGCCAUGAAAGAAAAAAUCUCUUCAGGUGAGGUCCAGGCAGAAAAAUGUUUGGGGCUCCCCGGGGGGAUUCCAGGGUACAGGCGAAGUUUAGUCUCCAUUUCAAAAAGAAGGUAUUUCUGGCAGAGAUCAAGUGCCACCCCUACAAAACAUUUACCACCAAGAACUCUGCGUCUUACCACUUAGGGCUGUUUCAUGGCAAUGAGGAGCGUCUGACUCACGCCUGGAGUUUGUUGAGGUGAGACGCAACCUAUAUUCUAGUCAUCUCCGGGAAUAUUUGUAUGAUCUAGGAUUUCUUUUAAUGAAAAAAAAAAUCUGUAACUGUAACAGCAUUUCCUUUUGCAUGGUUACAAUGUUAACCCAUUGUUGCCCAAAGUUUCCCAUCCCAUGAGUGAGUUUUCUUCUUUAACUAUGAUUUUGUUAUGUUUUAUGCACAAAGAAAAGGUACUCUAAAGGAACCUGUCUACAGAACAGAAACAGACUCACAGACACGAACAGAUGUGUGGUUGCCGAGGAGGAAGGGGAGGGAGUGGGAUGGAUGUGGCGUUGGGGUUGGUAGAGGCAAACCAGGACAUGGAGAAUGGAUCAGCUGUGAGGUCCUGCUGUCCAGCACAGGGAACUCUAUCCAGUCUCUUGGGAAAGACCAGCAUGGAGGAUAUUGUAAGAGAAUGUAUGUGUAUGUAUGACCUGGCCAGUUUUCUGUAAGCAAGUUGACCCAAUGCUGUAAACCAACUAUACUUUAAUUAAAACUUUUUUUUAAGUUCAUGUAGGAUCAUGUCAUCUGCUGCCCCGCUGCCAGAUGCAUGAUGCCUGGGUUAGCAGCAGCCUGGCCGUAUGUAGGUCCCCCACACCAGUGAUUCAAUCAGAAUCCACUUUUUAACAACAUCUGCCAAAGGUGUAUGUGCCCAUUGAAAGCUGAUAGCCAGGGAGUUCCCAUCAUGGCUCAGCAGUUAGCGAACCCAACUAGCAGCCAUGAGGAGGUGUGUUUGAUCCCUGGCUUUGCUCAGUGGGUUAAGGAUCUGGCGUUGCCAUGAGCUGUGGUGUAGGUCACAGACGCAGCUUGGAUCUGGCGUUGCUGUGGCUGCAGCUCCGAUUGAACUUCUAGCCUGAGAACCUCCAUGGGCCACAGGUGUGGCCCUAAAAAAGACAAAAGUCAAAAAUAAAUAAAGUUGAUGGCCAGCACCUGCUUAACAGGAAUGCAGGGUUGUUUAGCAGGAAAAAAAAGGAGAGAAAAGGAGGAAUAAAAGACGAGGAAGGGAGUCAAAAAAAAAAAAAAAAAAAAAA
rnacentral:lncRNA from 1 species